UUAAGCUUUAGCAUCUUUGGUUUCGGUAUGGUCAGUAUGUUGGUAAACGGUACGUAAUGCUUUUGCAUGAUGAAAGUCACAUAAGCCGCAAAAACUGUGUGUGACGGUGGUGUACGUUGCCCGUGGAAAAAGUCGAUGUAAAUGAGACGCCCAGACAAGUGGCCCAGAAUGCCGGGAGGAAAAAGAAGUGGAAGCAAGUGUGUUUCAGUGGGUGCUGGAGGGAGGAGUGGAUUUGAUUCUACAUGUGUGGUAUCCACCUACUGUUCAGGAGAAUCUACGUCCCCUCAGAUAACAUUAUGGGUCUGAAUAUCUGAGUUCCAUUUAUGUGCUGGCACCAUGAUCUGCAGGAAACCAGGGCAGUGUGUGGAAGAGUGGUAAUUGAACUUGAAAUUCCCUACACCUCCAGUGUUACUUACCAGAUGUAAACCAGGCCAGUCUUCAGGAAUAGUAAGCACUGUGAAGUAUAGAGCUUUGUAAGUUUUAGUUCCUUGGGGGAAUUUUGAAGAGUUGGAUGUGUGCAAAAUGUUUCUGACAGCAUGAGCCUGCAGUGUCUUGGUUAUUGAUAUUAUGCCCCAGUUAUUAUAACCUCAGGUAACUGAACUUGGCCCUUCCCUGCCCGAAUGAACAGUGACAUGAAUCAUGAACACAGUGUGACAGGUUUUGUCUCCAUCAUGCAGUAUUAUGUUAUUGUAGGAAAAUAAAAGUUAUGUUGUUGUGGGCUUCUGUGGAAUAGUAUUCAUACCAUGUAAACGAAUUUCCCAUGAAUCCACUGGUACUAAUUGUACGAUUAGUAUUAUUAUUUGUGCCCUGUUAGUGAAACAUGUACGUUGUACAGUUGUGUUUCUUGUGUUAUCACACAUUUUGGAGGUGAUGACAGUUACCAAGUAGUGUGUAGAGUUGACUGGAUUUCUUUAUACUUGAUUGAGUUUGAUGCUUGUUAUGUACAGUAGAUUAUUCUAGUGAGAGGAAUAAAGUAAGUAUUCAGUGGC